AAUGGGCGAAAGCCUGACCCAGCAACGCCGCGUGAAGGAAGAAGGCCUUCGGGUUGUAAACUUCUUUUAUGAGGGACGAAGAAAGUGACGGUACCUCAUGAAUAAGCCACGGCUAACUACGUGCCAGCAGCCGCGGUAAUACGUAGGUGGCAAGCGUUAUCCGGAUUUACUGGGUGUAAAGGGCGCGUAGGCGGGAAUGCAAGUCAGAUGUGAAAUCUCCGGGCUCAACCCGGAAGCUGCAUUUGAAACUGUAUUUCUUGAGUGUCGGAGAGGUAGAUGGAAUUCCUAGUGUAGCGGUGAAAUGCGUAGAUAUUAGGAGGAACACCAGUGGCGAAGGCGAUCUACUGGACGAUAACUGACGCUGAGGCGCGAAAGCGUGGGGAGCAAA
rnacentral:rRNA from 1 species